rnacentral:rRNA from 2 species
GCAGUCGAACGAACUCUGGUAUUGAUUGGUGCUUGCAUCAUGAUUUACAUUUGAGUGAGUGGCGAACUGGUGAGUAACACGUGGGAAACCUGCCCAGAAGCGGGGGAUAACACCUGGAAACAGAUGCUAAUACCGCAUAACAACUUGGACCGCAUGGUCCGAGUUUGAAAGAUGGCUUCGGCUAUCACUUUUGGAUGGUCCCGCGGCGUAUUAGCUAGAUGGUGAGGUAACGGCUCACCAUGGCAAUGAUACGUAGCCGACCUGAGAGGGUAAUCGGCCACAUUGGGACUGAGACACGGCCCAAACUCCUACGGGAGGCAGCAGUAGGGAAUCUUCCACAAUGGACGAAAGUCUGAUGGAGCAACGCCGCGUGAGUGAAGAAGGGUUUCGGCUCGUAAAACUCUGUUGUUAAAGAAGAACAUAUCUGAGAGUAACUGUUCAGGUAUUGACGGUAUUUAACCAGAAAGCCACGGCUAACUACGUGCCAGCAGCCGCGGUAAUACGUAGGUGGCAAGCGUUGUCCGGAUUUAUUGGGCGUAAAGCGAGCGCAGGCGGUUUUUUAAGUCUGAUGUGAAAGCCUUCGGCUCAACCGAAGAAGUGCAUCGGAAACUGGGAAACUUGAGUGCAGAAGAGGACAGUGGAACUCCAUGUGUAGCGGUGAAAUGCGUAGAUAUAUGGAAGAACACCAGUGGCGAAGGCGGCUGUCUGGUCUGUAACUGACGCUGAGGCUCGAAAGUAUGGGUAGCAAACAGGAUUAGAUACCCUGGUAGUCCAUACCGUAAACGAUGAAUGCUAAGUGUUGGAGGGUUUCCGCCCUUCAGUGCUGCAGCUAACGCAUUAAGCAUUCCGCCUGGGGAGUACGGCCGCAAGGCUGAAACUCAAAGGAAUUGACGGGGGGCCCGCACAAGCGGUGGAGCAUGUGGUUUAAUUCGAAGCUACGCGAAGAACCUUACCAGGUCUUGACAUACUAUGCAAAUCUAAGAGAUUAGACGUUCCCUUCGGGGACAUGGAUACAGGUGGUGCAUGGUUGUCGUCAGCUCGUGUCGUGAGAUGUUGGGUUAAGUCCCGCAACGAGCGCAACCCUUAUUAUCAGUUGCCAGCAUUAAGUUGGGCACUCUGGUGAGACUGCCGGUGACAAACCGGAGGAAGGUGGGGAUGACGUCAAAUCAUCAUGCCCCUUAUGACCUGGGCUACACACGUGCUACAAUGGAUGGUACAACGAGUUGCGAACUCGCGAGAGUAAGCUAAUCUCUUAAAGCCAUUCUCAGUUCGGAUUGUAGGCUGCAACUCGCCUACAUGAAGUCGGAAUCGCUAGUAAUCGCGGAUCAGCAUGCCGCGGUGAAUACGUUCCCGGGCCUUGUACACACCGCCCGUCACACCAUGAGAGUUUGUAACACCCAAAGUCGGUGGGGUAACCUUUUAGAACCAGC